GACGAACGCUGGCGGCGUGCUUAAAAACAUGCAAGUCGAACGGACUUCUCAUGAAGCUUGCGAUUGAGAAGUUAGUGGCGGACGGGUGAGUAACGCGUGGGCAACCUGCCCCUGAGCCCGGGAUAACAGUUCGAAAGGACUGCUAAGACCGGAUAUACUUGCGGGGAAGCAUUUCACUGCAAGGAAAGGGAACGCUCAGGGAUGGGCCCGCGUCCCAUUAGCUAGUUGGUGAGGUAACGGCCCACCAAGGCGACGAUGGGUAGCCGGCCUGAGAGGGUGAACGGCCACACUGGGACUGGGACACGGCCCAGACUCCUACGGGAGGCAGCAGUUGGGAAUCUUCGGCAAUGGGCGCAAGCCUGACCGAGCAACGCCGCGUGAGUGAUGAAGGUUUUCGGAUUGUAAAGCUCUGUCUUCCGGGACGAUAAUGACGGUACCGGAGGAGGAAGCCACGGCUAACUACGUGCCAGCAGCCGCGGUAAGAGUGUGUGUA
rnacentral:rRNA from 1 species